CGGGCCAGCUGGUUAAACUUAAAGUAUACUCCUGAACAUUCAUCUUACCCUGCUUAAGGUUCAUGAACUCCUCUGCUUUAGCUUCCCUCAGCUCCAGAGGAAAGAAUCGGUUAAGAAAAGCUUCCACAAACUUAUCCCAAAAUUGUGAGCUCAACACUGUCACCCUUCGCAUCUUCCCACUCGUUGUACCAUUGGUUCGCUACAUCCUUUAGCUAGUAUGCUUCUAGAUCAACACCC
rnacentral:lncRNA from 1 species